GACGUAGGGGGCCAGCGUUGUUCGGAAUUACUGGGUGUAAAGGGUUCGUAGGCGGUGUGGCAAGUCGGGAGUGAAAUCUCUGGGCUCAACCCAGAGACUGCUUCCGAAACUGCUGUGCUUGAGUGUGAGAGAGGCUCGUGGAAUUGCAGGUGUAGCGGUGAAAUGCGCAGAUAUCGGGAGGAACACCAAUGGCGAAGGCAGCUCGCUGGGACGGUACUGACGCUGAGACGCGAAAGCGUGGGGAGCAAACAGG
rnacentral:rRNA from 1 species